GGAGAGGCAAGCCGAAGGCAGGCGACGGCGCCCGGUUGGAAGCCGGGGGAGGCCCACGAUCGUGCGGCCCUUGCGGGUUCGAUCCCCGCCCUCUCCG
rnacentral:tRNA from 1 species